UACGUAGGGGGCAAGCGUUGUCCGGAUUUAUUGGGCGUAAAGAGCGUGUAGGCGGCCAGGUAGGUCUGCUGUGAAAACUCGAGGCUCAACCUCGGGCUUGCAGUGGAUACGGGCAGACUAGAGUGCGGUAGGGGAGACUGGAAUUCCUGGUGUAGCGGUGGAAUGCGCAGAUAUCAGGAGGAACACCGAUGGCGAAGGCAGGUCUCUGGGCCGCAACUGACGCUGAGGAGCGAAAGCAUGGGGAGCGAACAGG
rnacentral:rRNA from 1 species